GGGCCCAUUUCUCAGUUGGUAGAGCACAAGGCUCUUAACCUUGUGGUCGUGGGUUCGAGCCCCACGAUGGGUGCCA